AGGGUAUUAUCCGGCAUUCUCAUAAACAAAAUGAAAAAAAGUUUUCCUUUACUUUGGCUUUGCAAAUGGGCUACUUUCAGUUCUCAUUUAGCAUAAAGACUACCGACUACCAAUCUUUUUUUUUUUUUUUUUUUUUAAGACUACCAAUCUACGUUUUUCUCAUAGUUCAAUCCAAAAUCUCCAAAAAGUGGCAUUUUGUCGGUGGUGGUAGUUUUUGUAUUGCCUGUUUGGUUGUUGCUACUUUUGCCCUUUCAUCGAAGUCCUGAGAUAGAUUAGGGGGUUAAACUCAAAAUUUCUUAUCUCACCUUCUCUUUUCGUUCCUCUUUAAACCACGUAUUUUGAAAAGAAAUGUCAUGACAAGAUAGCAUACUCUUCUCUUACCUUGCUUUGAAGAGUACCUGAGACUGAAGAUAACGUGAAUUUAUAGUACUUGUUAUAUUAAUGCUGGCUUUAAAAUGUACAUUGUAGAGUGCUAUUAGACAUACGUAAAACCGUAUUUUCUUAAUUAUGACUUUUCUGAUGGACUUCAAUAUGGUCAACCGAAUUCACCAUCAUAAAGGGGAAGAAAACUGCGUCCUUACUAAGCUGUGGACUUACCUCAGGGCUUUUGUGACGCCUCAACGGCGUUUUCAUGCUGUUUUUAGGAGGUACACCCAUUAUUUUUCCCUAUGAAAAUAAUCCUAAAUCAACUGAUGGUAUGUUUUUCUGGAGGCUGUGUGCGCCCCACUAGUUCUCACUGUGAAAAAUCUAGAGUCUCUCCUAUCCCAGUUUUCCACUCAGAAGGCUUAAGACAAAAAGCGCAGAGCGCUCAGAACCGGAAAUGAGGGGAGCUCAGUCUGAGGAAAACUUACCGCGAAGAGCGAGCGGAAGGUAGAGUGGCUUCACCGGGCUCUGGGGGCUGACCUGGAACCUUCGGCAGCCAUGGGCUCGUCCCCUCUUGUUGUCAGACUAUUUAGUAACGAGUCUGACACCAUUUAUUCCAGGGAAAACGACCCAGGUCAGAAGAGCCAAGAGGCUCGCACCAACGCUUCUCCUGAAAUUUGGCCCGGAGCCGCCGCUUUAUACCGCUGGAGAACCGGAAGUCAGCAGCAAGAACAUUGUGACUAUCAAGAUAAAACAGUGAGGCAGAAGUUACAUUUUUCAUUAAAGAUCACCAGAAAGUUAAGCAGCAUGGUGAAAAGAAGAAAGGGAAAGAAAAAAGGUGUAUAAAAGUUGAAGAAAAAUAUAUCCUACCAUAUGU
rnacentral:lncRNA from 1 species